AAUAUUCCAACCAAUUCCUUACUUUGAUGUUCUGUGUACGUAAUCAAAUUAAGCUGGGACAUCACACCCUUCAUUCUGACUCGUCAGAUGCAAGCAGGACACUCGAAUUUCUUGAGGGUCGCAAGUCAAGCAACACAUAAUAUAUGUUUUCUCUUAGGAAGGAGAUGCCAGUGCUACGUGCACAGAGGUGGAUGUCCUGAAUGCACUGGGAUUAAGCCAUUGCAAAUGACACUGAUGAUUAACCUCGCCGAUCCUAGACAUGUACCAAUGAUGGCCACGCAUUGCUUCUCAACACCGGUUAAAAAAAACAUCGAACUUCCUCACAACAGGAACUCAUACCUGAUAACUCAGGAUAACUCAUUUCACCCAGUUUCUAAGAAAGCGUACCGAUACGCUAACCGCUUUCUCUCUCUCUCUGUUGCAGGUUUCCCACUGAAGCACCGAUAGCGAGUGCCAUAAGUGUAUUUCACGUCAAUUUUAAGCACACGCACACACACUGUCACUAAGCGUCAAAUACUUGAAUCGAAAGCAUUCACUUGACUAUACGCGAGAUGUAGAUGACGCCGCGGUGAAGUUUGACAUGCUAAAUGUUAUAAUUCGCCUUUUCAGACCGCCCUGGCAAUAACGGAGUCGUCGAUGAUGGCGACAACUUGGAACCAUUUCACGAUAAUAAUACUUCGACCACAGACCAUACCAGUUCUACGCUUUCAACAUCUGCAAAAACGCGGCGCCCAACGAAGGUCCCUACAAAACACCCCAUCAAAACCACUCGUUCAACGCAUUCAACAUCUGUAAAAACGCGGCGCCCAACGAGGGUCACAAGGAAACCACCCACCAAACGCACUCGUUCAACGCAUUCAACAACUGUAAAAACGCGGCGCCCAACGACGGUCACAAC